GCGUUUUCGUCGAAUUUAUGUUGUUGAAAAUGACUAAAUACCAAGUACGAUAAUUCUCCACAAGAGUGGCGGUGGUGUUCAUAAGUUUAGAUUUAAGUACGUGUGAUUUUAUAAAAAACAAAUGAAACAAAUAGUUCUCUUUGAUGUUUUUGUUUUAAUCACGAAGCCUUAAUUUAAUUAAGGGUUAAUUAAAGGAUUAGGACUAAUUUUCAUAGAGCUCAACAGGUUAUUUUAUAUUGAUGAUUUUGUGGUUUACUUUUUAAGAUAUAUAGGAUGAUUUAUGGACAUUUUUUCAUGCUAUUGUUAUUUUUUCUUGACUUUGUGAUAUCAUAACCAAUUAUUCCAUUUUCUUUAGUUUAUAAUUUCUUAUUUCCUUCGUCGACUUAUUUAUCUAUUUUUUUCCUAAGUUAAAGGUAGGUUUUUUCAUAUUUGAAAAAUCAGACCAAGAGACUAGUGACAAUAGAAAUCAUCCUUUCAUUGUGAAUAUUGUACCUACACUUAUAACACGGUGAUCGUCCUCCUUGUACAUAAGACUCCAUGAUUGAGAAUAUCGAAAUGUUGUUAUCGCGCCUCUCCACUCUUCAAACCUUUGUUAAGCACGUCAUGCUGUGUCCAUCAACAAAGACACUCGUCCUACUCUUUCACUGGACGCCUACGACGACACGUUUUAGACAACUAGUAGGCCAGUCAAUAAGAGGCAAAUAAGAACUUUUUCGAUUUAAACGAUUACAAAUUGAUACAAUGGUAAUUCGACGACGCUGAAUCGAAUGGUGCUUAUUUUUUUGCACUCCGAUGUGCCAUUUAUGAGAAAAAGGG